rnacentral:rRNA from 1 species
UCAGUACGGCGAGUGAACAGGCAAGAGCUCAGAUUUGAAAGGCACUUUUGUGCCGUUGUAUUCUGAAGUUAGGGUCCUGAGAAACGAUGCUUAAGUCUUCUGGAAAGGAGCGCCAUGGAGGGUGAUAGCCCCGUCUAGCAUUGACCUCAUAUAGGAUCUUAACAUGGAGUCGAGUUGUUUGGGAAUGCAGCUCAAAUGGGUGGUAUGCUCCAUCUAAAGCUAAAUAUCUGCGAGAGACCGAUAGUAAACAAGUACUGUGAGGGAAAGAUGAAAAGAACUUUGAAAAGAGAGUGAAAAAGUACGUGAAAUUGUUGAAAUGGAAGGGUAGGCCGCUAACCAUGUAGAGCCGUGUUUGGGGGGAAGAUAAAUGCUGUAGAAUGUAGCUCCUCGGAGUAUUAUAGAUGCAGUUCAUAUUCCCACCCGAGCGCGAGGAUCUCAGGUUCUACUAAAUGGUGGUCUACCACCCGUCUUGAACCACGGACCAAAA